rnacentral:rRNA from 1 species
GACGGAGGAGGCAAGCGUUGUCCGGAAUUAUUGGGCGUAAAGGGUACGUAGGCGGCUGGUCAAGUCUGGGGUCAAAGGCCACAGCUCAACUGUGGAAAGGCCCUGGAAACUGACCGGCUAGAGUGAGGUAGGGGUUGCGGGAAUUCCCGGUGUAGCGGUGAAAUGCGUAGAGAUCGGGAAGAACACCUGAGGCGGAAGUGCGCAACUGGGCCUCAACUGACGCUGAGGUACGAAAGCUAGGGGAGCGAAUGGG